rnacentral:rRNA from 1 species
GAUGAACGCUGGCGGCGUGCCUAAUACAUGCAAGUCGAGCGAACAGACGAGGAGCUUGCUCCUCUGACGUUAGCGGCGGACGGGUGAGUAACACGUGGAUAACCUACCUAUAAGACUGGGAUAACUUCGGGAAACCGGAGCUAAUACCGGAUAAUAUAUUGAACGGCAUGGUUCAAUAGUGAAAGACGGUUUUGCUGUCCCUUAUAGAUGGAUCCGCGCCGCAUUAGCUAGUUGGUAAGGUAACGGCUUACCAAGGCGACGAUGCGUAGCCGACCUGAGAGGGUGAUCGGCCACACUGGAACUGAGACACGGUCCAGACUCCUACGGGAGGCAGCAGUAGGGAAUAUUCCGCGAUGGGCGAAAGCCUGACGGAGCAACGCCGCGUGAGUGAUGAAGGUCUUCGGAUCGUAAAACUCUGUUAGUAGGGAAGAACAAAUGUGUGAGUAACUAUGCACGUCUUGACGGUACCUAAACAAAAAGCCACGGCUAACUACGUG